rnacentral:rRNA from 1 species
GCCAUUAGUUGCUACGAAAGGGCACUCUAAUGGGACUGCCGGUGACAAACCGGAGGAAGUGGGGAUGACGUCAAGUCCUCAUGGCCCUUAUAGGUGGGGCUACACACGUCAUACAAUGGCCGGUACAGAGGGUAGCCAACCCGCGAGGGGGAGCCAAUCCCACAAAGCCGGUCGUAGUCCGGAUCGCAGUCUGCAACUCGACUGCGUGAAGUCGGAAUCGCUAGUAAUCGCGGAUCAGCUACGCCGCGGUGAAUACGUUCUCGGGCCUU